UACGUAGGGCGCAAGCGUUAUCCGGAAUUAUUGGGCGUAAAGAGCUCGUAGGCGGUUUGUCGCGUCUGCCGUGAAAGUCCGGGGCUCAACUCCGGAUCUGCGGUGGGUACGGGCAGACUAGAGUGAUGUAGGGGAGACUGGAAUUCCUGGUGUAGCGGUGAAAUGCGCAGAUAUCAGGAGGAACACCGAUGGCGAAGGCGGUUCUCUGGGCCUGUUCUGACGCUGAGGAGCGAAAGCGUGGGGAGCGAACAGG
rnacentral:rRNA from 1 species